ACACCAGCGCCUCAAGUGGUACCCACGAAUACUGGGCCUAAAGCGUUCGUAGCCGGCCAAGUAAGUCUUCUGUGAAAUAGUAAGGCUUAACCUUACUGCGCGCAGGAGAUACUGCUAGGCUUGGGAACGGGGGAGGUCAGGAGUACACCCGGGGUAGGGGUAAAAUCCUUUGAGCCUGGGUGGACUACCAGUGGCGAAGGCGCCUGACCAAAACGUGUCCGACGGUGAGGAACGAAAGCUGGGGGAGCGAACGGGAUUAGAUACCCCGGUAGUCCCAGCCGUAAAUGAUGCAGACUGUGGUGUUGCUUCAGAGUUAAUCUGCAGCAGUGCUGUAGCGUAGGUGUUAAGUCUGCCGCCUGGGGAGUACGGCCGCAAGGUUGAAACUUAAAGGAAUUG
rnacentral:rRNA from 1 species